CCCUUAGAUGUUCUGGGCCGCACGCGCGCUACACUGACGAAUGCAACGAGCUUAUAACCUUGGCCGAAAGGUCUGGGUAAUCUCCAAAUUUCGUCGUGAUGGGGAUAGAUUAUUGCAACUAUUAAUCUUCAACGAGGAAUGCCUAGUAAGCGCGAAUCAUCAGUUCGCGUUGAUUACGUCCCUGCCCUUUGUACACACCGCCCGUCGCUCCUACCGAUUGAAUGGUCCGGUGAAAAUUUCGGAUACCGGCGUUGCUGGCGGUUCGCCGCCGGCGACGCUGGUAGAAGAUCUUUAAACCUUAUCAUUUAGAGGAAGGAGAAGUCGUAACA
rnacentral:rRNA from 1 species